AGCAAAAUCCCUCGAUUGAGCACCGCUGAUCUCGCCAUGUUCCCGUAUCCCGGUCGCGAUUGGCCACGGAUUCAACGAACAACCCCGCCGAUUCGUCGAAUCGAGCCACGCCUCGCGAUGCUGCUGCCCGGACCACCUCUUUCGUCGGCAAGUAGUCUCUCCGGGAGUAGUUGUGUACAGCUGCAACAAAGGCCACCCCGAUAGACGACGGCCGGCUAGUCCUCGUUGACACGACGCACGCUCAAGAGCUUCGACGGGGAAGAUUCCAUCUGACGCCUGAGAAAGUGAAUGAACGAGGACGAGGUCGAAUGUCAUUCGAGGGAUCGGAGGGUAUAUUUCCCCCCUGUCGCUUUUCCCUGGUCUAAGUAGGCGAUCACAGUGGAAGCGGAACAGUCGAGAGGCUCCGUAUUUAAGGCAUUCGGAUUUUAGGCGAUAAUCCGAAGUCGGCAAACAAUAUCAAAGAAACGUAUCAUUCCUCAAGAUUAGAAGACUAGGUUUGGCGAUGAAUGUCUUGGCGAAUUUCGGUGAACAAACAUCCAUCGUUGACUGAUGCUAGAAGAGACGAGUCAGUAUCGUCGAUGAAAAAUGUUAAUGAGAGUGCCAUGAUUUGUGAAGAGGUGAUAAGUGACGACGGGGAUUCGUUAUGAAGUUUAGCUCUGUGCAUUAAAUGAACCAACACAUCGGAGUGGAUGCGUUUAUGAGACCUAAUUUAAUUUCGCGGGCAUGAUCUCGUCAACCGAUUGAUGCGGUCUAAACAUUCCAAGACAAUCUCGCGGAAACAAAGGUUUCAAAUUUCUGCACGCUUUUCUAAAUCUGAUAUCUUUUCUCUUAGUUUUAUAAACAUUAUUGAAACUCUGAUGAAUCCCUCUUCUCUCUCAAGCGGUGCGCGAUGUUAUUCGAGAUGCACUUUACGGUGAAGAACACGUGUGCUAAAAAGUUUGAUCGCGCGAUCAUCCAGCUGUAGUGCAUCUGCAGAAUUCGCGGGAUUCUUAACCGGCGAGAGGGUGGUCCAGCUCGAAGCAAUCUCUGCGAGGAGUCCUGCGUACGAGUCCCCGACGAUGGAUUCUCAGCAGUUGGUUGACACGGCUUCUCAAAACAGUCAGGACAUCGUUUUACCAAAACCGGCCAGUAGCACCCCGAGACACAGCAUCGAUGCGAUUCUUGGAUUGGCCAGUCAUAAAAGAACUCAUCAGGAGAUGGAGGACACAAAUCGCGACACGCAGGAAAAUACUGGUGAGAACAGCUGCAACUCCACCGGCGGCGGCAGCGACGAGGAACUCGGCGCAGGCUGCGGGGAGGACAUAAACGGCAAUGGGGGCAAGAAGAAGCAUCGUCGUAACCGGACGACCUUCACGACCUAUCAGUUGCAUGAGCUCGAGAGAGCGUUCGAAAAGUCCCACUACCCGGACGUCUACUCCAGGGAAGAGCUUGCCAUGAAGGUCAACCUCCCGGAAGUACGUGUUCAGGUCUGGUUUCAGAAUAGACGAGCCAAGUGGCGCAGACAGGAAAAAAUGGAAGCUGCGAGACUGGGUUUGAGCGAGUAUCAUCAUGCUGCUAAUAUGAGGAAUGUCGCCGGUCCGGCUUUAGGUCUGCCAGGAGAUCCUUGGCUCGCGCCGCCAGGAUUGCUCAGCGCGCUUCCCGGUUUCCUCGCUGCGCCUCACACAGGAUAUCCCAGUUAUCUAACGUCACCCAGGCGAUUGCCGUCACCGCCAAAUGUAGGUGCCGUGACCAAUCCCGUUCCAGGAAUUGCACUGUUUGCAGGAUCGCUGGCCGGCAGCAUGGCGAGCAUAAGCGCCGGCGGCCACGUUCAACCACCACCGCCGAGUCCGCCAGGACACGAUCCUCGCACAUCGAGCAUCCAGGCGCUCAGGAUGCGAGCCAAGGAGCACGUCGAGAGCAUCACCAAAGGCCUGCAGAUGGUUUGAAGGUUAACCGAAGAUUUGCCAGGGGCGCGCAUCGCUGCCGGCCUCGUGAUCGCGUGACGAGCAAGCGAGCAACAACCCUUCCAGCCCAGACAUUCCAGACCCCGAGAAGAAUCGCCUGAGCGGUAUGUCGACCGACGAGAGCGAGAGAGCUCGUUCCGUCAUAGGGAAAGAUCACCGACGAAAUGGAGCUGGACGUGACGUGAAAGUACAAGAGAUCUCGCGAGAGAAAACCUAUCGUUCUAUUGAAAAAGAUUUUGUUCCCGGUAUCGAUAGUUACCGAAGGAAAAAUCUGACAUUCAUUCUGAGACUAUCAGUGUUAUAAGAUUGACAGACAUCUAUCAUGAAAUGAGCACGUGUUCAUGAUUGAAAAUGGGCCGAUCAUCAAAUCCUUCGUGAAAUGACUUUAACAGGAGAAAUCAAGAUUUUAUCUGAAAUGUAAAGGAAGCAAAUAAAAAAAGAAAUGCGUGAGCAAAUACAUCUGCAAGAUCAAGCUGUUUUUUAAAAUUAUUUGUGAUGUUUUUGAUAACUUGAACGAAAUAGAGAUGCUAAAAAUAGCCGACCAAUGGGAGAAAAUUCGCGUGAUUAACAUGACAAAAUGAUUUUCGCGCGGAUUAUGUGGAAAAUUUACUCAGGACUCGCUCUAAGUCGGCAUUGUGCAAUAUGCAAAUCAAAUUAUGUUGCGCAAGCUUGACAUGUAUGUAACUGAAAUAAAGAUAAAAAAAGAUCAAUGUUUAUUAUCUUGUCAUUAUCGUUUUCAAUGUAUUUGUUGCAAAAUCUUGUAUGCCGAGUUUCAUUCUAAAUUUGCUUUCAAAGCGCCUGGGGAGAAAAUAUUUUCAGAGAAACAUGA
rnacentral:misc_RNA from 1 species